CUGCUCACCCCAGACCCUGUCUUCAGCCUUCGAUUAUGACAUUCUUUAAUAGACUCUGAAGGAAGCAGACAGUGGGCUCAGUCUAUCGGCAGAUAAUGAGCACGUAACUGCUGCCCAUGUGAAAAGGUCUCAGGAAAUGGGACACAGAAGAGAAAGACCAAGUGGCACACGCAGAGCACGAGGUCAUUUGUAGCAGAGCUGCAACUAAAAUCUGAGCCUGUGAACUCCUGCUGUCUCUACAGGGUGCUGAGUUAAAGAGCCCCUCCUGAUAGAUUUAGAGAUAGACAUUUGGAUCUCAACUGAAAAUUGUGAUCACAUUUAUAAAGCCCAGAACAGACUGCAACCCAGAACAGCCAGCCACUCAGCCAGAGUUCUGUAUGGGACCUUGCUUCUGCCAAACAGACAUACUACAGGAGACUUGGAGCUAAGUGGUGGAGAGAUUGGCUUGUGGCGGUGAAGGUGUGGUUCUUCUGGGGAAGCUGAGGCAGGUGGCAGAGCAUCAGGUCCCAAGAGGCCUGGGUACUGACUGCAGGUACCACCAGGGUGCUGCUCCCCACAGCACCGCUGCGGCGCGGCUGGUCAUUUCUGCUGAUCUAUUCCGGAUGAGGCAGGCUCCAAGCCCAGCUCUGACCUGCCUGGGAUCCCAACCAUCAACAUUGUCUGCUCCUGAUAUCCGACCAGCCGCUUUAUCAUGGCUGAGGAUCCAGGAUCGCUGGAAGCAGAUAAUUCUCCCCACCUGCCAUCGAAGGUCAAUAUGAGCCCAAGGCUACAUCACAGCACCUGCGUCAUUCACCUCACUUCCUUUCCCAUCAUCACAAGAAGGAGACGGGUCCCAGGGGAAAUUUCUUCUGGAUGAAAUAGGCAGCAACCUCCAAUGUCAUAAUACAACAGCGCAGCCUUCACCAGGAGGAAAGACACCAUCAAGUCUUCAAAUCUGGAAGAAUCAGCUCUUGAAACCGAG
ensembl:lncRNA